CCCUUAGAUGUUCUGGGCCGCACGCGCGCUACAAUGAUGAAUUCAACGAGUUUAUAACCUUGGUUGAAAAGCCUGGGUAAUCUUUUGAACUUUCGUCGUGAUGGGGCUAGACCCUUGCAAUUAUUGGUCUCCAACGAGGAAUUCCCAGUAAACGCAAGUCAUCAGCUUGCAUUGAUUACGUCCCUGCCCUUUGUACACACCGCCCGUCGCACCUACCGAUUGAAUGGUCCGGUGAAAUCUUCGGAUUGAGACUUUGAUUUGUUUACUCAAAACGCUGUUUCAAGAAGUUGAUUAAACCUUACCAUUUAGAGGAAGGUGAAGUCGUAACA
rnacentral:rRNA from 1 species